GAUGAACGCUGGCGGCGUGCCUAAUACAUGCGAGUCGAGCGAACGGACGAGAAGCUUGCUUCUCUGAUGUUAGCGGCGGACGGGUGAGUAACACGUGGAUAACCUACCUAUAAGACUGGGAUAACUUCGGGAAACCGGAGCUAAUACCGGAUGAUAUUUUGAACCGCAUGGUUCAAAAGUGAAAGACGGUCUUGCUGUCACUUAUAGAUGGAUCCGCGCUGCAUUAGCUAGUUGGUAAGGUAACGACUUACCAAGGCAACGAUGCAUAGCCGACCUGAGAGGGUGAUCGGCCACACUGGAACUGGGACACGGUCCAGACUCCUACGGGAGGCAGCAGUAGGGAAUCUUCCGCAAUGGGCGAAAGCCUGACGGAGCAACGCCGCGUGAGUGAUGAAGGUCUUCGGAUCGUAAAACUCUGUUAUUAGGGAAGAACAUAUGUGUAAGUAACUGUGCACAUCUUGACGGUACCUAAUCAGAAAGCCACGGCUAACUACGUG
rnacentral:rRNA from 1 species